CAGCAGCCACGGGAAUACGUAGGGUGCAAGCGUUAAUCGGAAUUACUGGGCGUAAAGCGUGCGCAGGCGGUUUGUUAAGACAGAUGUGAAAUCCCCGGGCUCAACCUGGGAACUGCAUUUGUGACUGGCAGGCUAGAGUAUGGCAGAGGGGGGUGGAAUUCCGCGUGUAGCAGUGAAAUGCGUAGAUAUGCGGAGGAACACCGAUGGCGAAGGCAGCCCCCUGGGCCAAUACUGACGCUCAUGCACGAAAGCGUGGGGAGCAAACAGGAUUAGAUACCCCUGUAGUCCCUGUCUCUUAUAC
rnacentral:rRNA from 1 species